ensembl:lncRNA
UAGUAACUAAAGGCAUAGUAACUAGAGGCUGGGGGCAUAGUAACUACAGGCUGGGGGCAUAGUAACUACAGGCUGGGGGCAUAGUAACUACAGGCUGGGGGCAUAGUAACUAGAGGCUGGGGGCAUAGUAACUAAAGGCAUAGUAACUAAAGGCUGGGGGCAUAGUAACUAAAGGCAUAGUAACUAAAGGAUGGGGGCAUAGUAACUAAAGGCUGGGGGCAUAGUAACUACAGGCUGGGGGCAUAGUAACUAGAGGCUGGGGGCAUAGUAACUAGAGGCUGGGGGCAUAGUAACUAGAGGCUGGGGGCAUAGUAACUAAAGGCAUAGUAAAUAAAGGCUGGGGGCAUAGUAACUAAAGGCUGGGGGCAUAGUAACUAAAGGCUGGGGGCAUAGUAACUAAAGGCUGGGGACAUAGUAACUAAAGGCUGGGGGCAUAGUAACUAAAGGCUGGGGGCAUAGUAGCUAAA